GCCUACUUAGCUCAGUUGGUAGAGCAUCGGUUUUGUACUCCGAAGGUCAUCCGUUCGAACCGGAUAGUAGGCUCAA
rnacentral:tRNA from 1 species